rnacentral:rRNA from 1 species
AACGAACGCUGGCGGCAUGCCUAACACAUGCAAGUCGAACGAUUGCCUUCGGGUGAUAGUGGCGCACGGGUGCGUAACGCGUGGGAAUCAGCCCUUAGGUUCGGAAUAACAGCUGGAAACGGCUGCUAAUACCGGAUGAUAUCGCGAGAUCAAAGAUUUAUCGCCUGAGGAUGAGCCCGCGUUGGAUUAGGUAGUUGGUGGGGUAAAGGCCUACCAAGCCGACGAUCCAUAGCUGGUCUGAGAGGAUGAUCAGCCACACUGGGACUGAGACACGGCCCAGACUCCUACGGGAGGCAGCAGUGGGGAAUAUUGGACAAUGGGCGCAAGCCUGAUCCAGCAAUGCCGCGUGAGUGAUGAAGGCCCUAGGGUUGUAAAGCUCUUUUACCCGGGAAGAUAAUGACUGUACCGGGAGAAUAAGCCCCGGCUAACUCCGUG